GCAGCUUUGGCCUCAGUUCUCAGAUCAAACUCCUCAAGUCUGAGAGAACUGGAUCUGAGUCAUAAUCGUCUGUGUGAUUCAGGAGUGACGCUGCUCUCUGCUGGACUGGAGGAUCAACACUGUAAACUGGAGACACUCAGAUUACGUCACUGCAGUAUUACAGAGAAAGGCUGUAAAGCUCUGGUUAAAGCUUUGAAAUUAAAUCCUUCACACUUGAGAAAGCUGGUUCUGUAUGAAAAUGAACCAGGAGAGUCAGGAGUGAAGAUGCUUUCUGCUCUACUAGAAGGUCCUCACUAUAAACUGGAGGAACUACACAUCUGAAGACGAUCCACACAUUAACUGGUAGGAGCCUCUCACACUCAGGGCUUAUGAGCAGAGGACGACGUCUCAUAGAACCAGUCUUGGUGGUCAAGUUUGGUCUGUUUUCCUGUAUAACAGUGGCUGCAGCUUGGACAGUACGUCUGUCAAACUCCUGACAUUUGAGGACGACCCCACAUUGUUUAGCAGGACACAAGGUGCUUCUCCUCCUCCCAAAGUGCCUGGACUCAACAUCAACCCUCUCAAACCAGUGGAAACGUUGACAGACUUUCAUAAACUCACUCUAGAAAUCAAGACUUUCUGAUCUGCAGUUUAAGCAGAUACAUAGUAUACGUGGUUGUAGUUUUCCUCCUCACGGUCAGUUAUUCUGUAUUCAGUUUGAGUUUGAUAUGUACUUUAUGUAAUGCCUUUAAAUUAUUUUAUACAUUGUUUUUCUUCACGAAACUUUAAUACUAAAAGCCUGUGGACAUGAAAUCAUCCUGAAAUCAUCAUAUCAAAGACCAGUUAUUUAAACCAAGGGGUGGUGUGGUCUUCAUGGUGAAAGCCUGAGGUCAUCACAGAAAAGGCCAGCUGUGUUAGCCUAAGGUGGUUCAGUGUACUUGGUAACAGCCUGAGGUCAUCACUGCAACACUUAGCUAUACACACUAUAGUUUCCAUGGUAACAGGUUAAGGUGAUCAUAGUAAAUCCCGGCUUUGUCAGGCUCUGGAUAAUUUAGUCUACAUAACAGUCUGGGCUCAUUAUAGUCAGAGCCUAAAGUUAAACUCCAAAUAUCUGAUUACAUGUUAAAGUUGGUGAGAUUAAAACCUUCCAAGAACAAACGAACAUCGACUUUCCAACCAGAGCAAAAUGUUUCAAGCAAGAUGGAGAAGCAGAAUAGAAACACCAGCUUUUCACUCCAAUAUUAUGUUUGGUUAAGCUCAUAAGACUUUGGGCACAAACCUCACAAAGUCUUUUCACAGAGUCCUUAAACAAAAAGGCAGAAUGUCUGUGUAGCUCAAAAACUGACAGACCUGAAUGUUUUACUUUCUCAAGUUUCUCCUCCUUAACCUCAUGGCAGGUGCAUGUGGUGUCACUAUGACAACCAGCUACAUUGAUGGGGAGCUGUACCUGCAGGGGAAAAGGAUGUAGCUGGUACCAAAAGCAGAACUGAGCUGAGUCGUAUCAUGAAGUGGAAAAGCACCAUCAGUGUGAUCUUUGCUCCAUUUUGACUCUUGUGAGAAAAUGCUGACCUCAGUCCGAAUGUCCACCAGGUGGCAGUAAUUACUGCUGUUGACAGAAUCCCUGAAAAUUCAUCUGAACAAAAUUCCUUUGAGGGGAAAAACCUCAAAAAUCUCAGGACACCUAAAAGCCUUAAAAACAUCAUCUGUGUCUUUUUUGGUUUUGAUUAAUAAAAACACCACAUUUUAUUUUGAGAAAACGACGUCACGAACAGAUUCAUGACAAAAACUAAAGAAGAAUCAAAUCUACAUGUUGUUUAAAAUAAAUCCUUACUGCAAACACAACCUUCAUACCAAAAGACUCUUUUUCUACAGCUUCCUCCUGUUUGUUCUGUCAUGCCUCUUGCAGAACUUCCCAGAUGUUUAUGGAGCUGGAUGGAUACUGAAACUGUCCGAGCAGCUCCUUAGAGCUGACCGAUCAAGGUGGAGUGACCUUAAUUCAGUCAGUCCUUCACUGAGAGGAUCGUCUCUGUCUCUGUUCUCUCCAUUUACAGGAUUCAUUCACUUUGUUUAAACAGCAACACUGAAAAUCAAACUUUACUGAAAAUCUUCAAAACUUUGUGGUCAAAUGUUCGGCAGGCAGUUUACAGAGCCGUGAAGAUGUA